CUUUUGCCGAGGCGAUCAGCUCCGGGGCAGAUGCGUUCUGCAGCGGAGCGGGAGAUCGGUCCAGGCAGGGCUAAUUUUCCAGCAUCGAGCCUACUUGAGGGAGCCGCCAGGACCCGGCAGCCCUCUUGAGGGAGGCUGACGAGGCGAAGGCGGAGCCAGCAGCGCCCCCUCCCCGGCUGUUCAAAAGCUGCCCCUAGGGAGUGCAAGCGACCAGGAGCUCGUUGAACAGGAUGGGCAAACAGGGCAUGGCGCAUCAGAAGGGAGUGGCGAGGCAGUUAGCGUGGCAGUUCGUGCAGGCAGGGCGAGCAGGAAGGGCAGAGCAUUUCCCCCACCCAUAGGAACACCUCCUUAACGACAGCCGUUAGCUGGGUGAUAAUGGUCUCCACCAGGCACGGUGCGCUCUCCAGGAAGUCGGUACACACCCAGACCAACUACCUGUUCUACCUGUUAAAGAAUGCAGCAGUUCAGGUCACCUGCAGCAGUUCAGGUCACCAGAUGCAGGGAGUGUCUGAGCCUGCUGCUGCCAUCGGCGGGAGGCAGAGAAAAUGCGUGCGUGAGGUGCGAGCAGGUGGAUGACCUGAUCCGCAUGGUGGCGGAGCUCAAGGAGGAGGUGGAGAGGUUGAGGGACAUCAGGGAGUGUGAGAAGGAGAUAGGCUUGUGGAGUAACUCCCUGCUGGGCCUCAAGGAGAGAUACCGGGGUGAGACACCCCAAAUGGGGGUGGACCCCCUGCCCUGUCGCCAUCGGGCAGAUGGAGGGGAUCUGGGAGUUGAGGAGGAAUGGAAACAGGUCCCUGCUCGACAUGGCAGGCGAUGCCCUCCCCUUCCGGCCCCACCUUCCCAGGUGCCCUUACGCAACAGGUUUGAGGCCCUGGAGCUUGACAGACCAGUAGCUGAGGAAGAGGUAGCAAGUGUUCCCAGGAGGAUGCCUAGAGCGAGGAGGUCGACUCCACGCCUCAGGACUGCCUCCACCAAGAAAAACAGAAGGGUUAUUGUUGUGGGAGACUCUCUUCUUUGGGGAACAGAGGGCCCUAUUUUUCAGCCUGACCCUACCCGUAGGGAAGUCUGCUGCCUCCCUGGGGCCAGGGUCAGGGACGUUGCCAGGAAGCUUCCCAACCUGGUACACCCCUCUGAUUAUUAUCCUCUUUUGAUAGUCCAGGCGGGCAGUGACAAAGUUGAAGAGAGAAGCCUGAGGGCUAUCAAAAGAGACUUUAGGGGGCUGGGACGGUUAGUGGAUGGAACGGGAGUGCAGGUGGUGUUUUCAUCCAUCCCUACGGUGGCAGGGAGGGGUACAGAGAGGACACAGAAAGCCCACUUGUUAAACACGUGGCACCAGAGCUGGUGCCAACGCAGAAAUCUUGGGUUUUUCGACCAGGGGGCACUUUACUCAGCACCUGGCCUGAUGGCCACAGAUGGGUCCCUAUCUUUUAGGGG
rnacentral:lncRNA from 1 species